UUUUUACUCCCUCCGUUCCAAAUUACUCGUCGCAGAAAUGGAUGUAUCUAGAACUAAAAUACAUCUAGAUACAUCCAUUUCUGCGACAAGUAAUUCGGAACGGAGGGAGUACAAU
rfam:Triticum urartu cultivar G1812 contig288769, whole genome shotgun sequence.